UUCCCGGGUCAUAAAUUCUUCUGUCCCUUUCCUUAUCCGUUGAUUUCCACUCGCUCUCCAGCAAAAAGUUAAUUCACCGAUGCUGCUCGUGUAUAUGGAACCAUCUGCGCGCCAAGGACCGGAUCCGGGGGCGGCAGAGUCCGGAGCCGGGAGGCGUUGGGCUCGGACAGCGUGCGGAGGCCGAUCGUGUCGCUGACGAAGUAUUUGGCCGGGGAUUCGGCGGAGGACGAGGUGUCCGGAGGAGUGGAGAAGGAGGAGGAGUGGGUUGAUUGGGAGGAUAAGAUAUUGGAGGACACGGUGCCUCUGGUUGGCUUUGUGAGGAUGAUUCUGCACUUUGAAAGAUUCAAUGCUCCCAUUUUGUCUUAUGAUUAAUGAGCAAUAUCCUUGACUUCUCGUUAGUGGUAAGUGAUUUUUC